AGCGCUGCAAAGACGAAGGGGAGCGCCCAAGGAUGAGGAACGUUCCAAGACACUGAGUGAUUUGCUGAAAAUCACACAUCUAGAUGCAAAGCCAGAAUGCGAGCAGUGACCACCACACUUGACAAAUCCGUUGUUGCACACAUUUGUACUCUUCAAUCAACAAAACCUGAUGCAAAAAACAGAAAAGGGGGAGAUGUACAUGCAUUUUCCCUCACUGCAAAAAAAACACAACUUGUUUAACUACAGGUGUGUUCCUGGUGGUCUUUGAAUGAAGACAUUGACAGAAAGUAACAUAGCAUGCUGGUUAAAGACUGUUUUUAUUCGAAUCCUGGCUUUGCCAAUCAACAGCUGCAUAAAUUAAACUCUCGACCUCAGCUCCCUUAUUUGUAAAACAAGAAUAACAAAAAGACAUUUUUAUAAGGUUGGGUUGAAGGUUAAAUGAAAUAACAGAAGAUUAUCUCUUCACUAAUUUUAGCUGUAGAAAACAGAAGCCAAUCGAAAGAGCUCCCAGUCCAAAGCUGGAACAACUUGAACAACAAAAUAAAUAAUGUAGCAUUGGAUUACAAACCAACCAUAAAACAAAUAUCCAUGAGUCUAUACUGAUGUCAAUAAAUGAAU
rnacentral:lncRNA from 1 species